GUUAAACAAAGAAUACAAAUAAAUUUUAUGAAUAUGUGAGAUAAAUUGAAUUUAUUUAAUUAAUAAAAAAAAAUUAGGUGAAAUUUUAUUUUUUUUUAAAAAUUAAUAUAAAAAAUUAUAUUGAGUCUUGAAAAUUUUAUUAUUAAACUAGGAUUAGAUACCCUAUUAUUUAAUUAUUUAAGAAUAUAAAAAUUAGAGUAGUAAUAGUUAUGGUCUUGAAACUCAAAAAAUUUGGCGGUAUUUUAGUCUAUUCAGAGGAACUUGUAAUGUAAUCGAUAAUCCCCGAUGGAUCUUACUUAAUUUUGUAAUUUAAUUUGUAUAUCGCCGUUAUUUAAAAAUUUUAUAAGAAAAAUAAUUUUUAAAAAUUUUUAUUAAAAAAUAAAUCAGGUCAAGGUGCAGUUUAUAAUUAAGUUUUAUAUGAGUUACAAUAAAUUUAUUUAAACGGAUUAAAAGAUGAAAUAUUUUUAAGAAGGUGGAUUUGAUAGUAAAUUUUUAAAGAUAAAAAAAUUGAUUUUAGCUCUAAAAUAUGUACACAUCGCCCGUCGCUCUUGUUAAUAAUAUAA
rnacentral:rRNA from 1 species